UGUCAUACGUUGAGUAGUUCAAUCGUAGCUGUUAAAGGAGCACCUCAGGCAUGGCGACCUAGGCUCCUGGCUCAACGCCUUAAAGCUCUCGAGGCGGGAGAUCUUCCUGAGGUGAGCCCAGGUGGCCGAGGCACACCAAGGUGCAAGGCGUGCCCUAGGCGCGCCUAAACCACACCAAGCCUAGAAAUUUCAUUUUCUUUGGACCAUCGGGCAAAAAAAUAAAAGAA
rnacentral:misc_RNA from 1 species